UACGUAGGGUGCGAGCGUUUGUCCGGAAUUAUUGGGCGUAAAGGGCUCGUAGGCGGUCUGUCACGUCGGGAGUGAAAACACGGGGCUUAACCCCGUGCCUGCUUCCGAUACGGGCAGACUAGAGGUAUGCAGGGGAGAACGGAAUUCCUGGUGUAGCGGUGAAAUGCGCAGAUAAUCAGGAGGAACACCGGUGGCGAAGGCGGUUCUCUGGGCAUUACCUGACGCUGAGGAGCGAAAGUGUGGGGAGGCGAACAGG
rnacentral:rRNA from 1 species